GGGCUUGACUGGAUUUGACAGCAAGAGAUGUGGUAUGUAAGCAUGCAGUGCGUCAGUGAUUUGCACUAUAAUCUCAGUUACUGAACAAUUAUCUGGCAACGAAAACUAUGCUCUCGCUGCUUAAUCGAAGUACAGUAGAUUAGCUUUAUUUCCGCCACAGUGGUGGAAACGAGACAUCGCUCAAAAGCUCUUGUUCCGAAGCGUUUGGUCAAGCGGUGCAGUAAAAUCGGGAAUAGUUUUGGUCUUGCUUCGCGGCUGAAAUGAAAUUUUAGAAGCUAAGGCGCAAGUGGGUGGCUCUGGUCUUGCUUACGCACGAAAACCGAAGGCAGAGAUAAGCAUGUAGAAAGCGUAUGGCUUCCUUGUUUGGACGAGGGUUCGAUUCCCUCCAGGUCCAC
rnacentral:tmRNA from 1 species